rnacentral:rRNA from 1 species
UGACGGUACCUGAAGAAGAAGCCCCGGCUAACUCCGUGCCAGCAGCCGCGGUAAUACGGGGGGGGCGAGCGUUGUUCGGAAUUAUUGGGCGUAAAGGGCGCGUAGGCGGUGUGGCAAGUCUGUUGUGAAACCUCCAGGCUCAACUUGGAGCUUGCAUCAGAUACUGCCGUGCUAGAGUGUGGGAGAGGAGAGUGGAAUUCCUGGUGUAGCGGUGAAAUGCGUAGAUAUCAGGAGGAACACCGGUGGCGAAAGCGGCUCUCUGGACCACAACUGACGCUGAGGCGCGAAAGCUAGGGGAGCAAACAGGAUUAGAUACCCUGGUAGUCCUAGCCUUAAACGAUGAACACUUGGUAUAGCGGGUAUCGAAUCCCGCUGUGCCGGAGCUAACGCAUUAAGUGUUCCGCCUGGGGAGUACGGUCGCAAGGCUG